rnacentral:rRNA from 1 species
GUGAGGUAACGGCUCACCAAGGCAUCGACGGGUAGCUGGUCUGAGAGGAUGAUCAGCCACACUGGGACUGAGACACGGCCCAGACUCCUACGGGAGGCAGCAGUGGGGAAUAUUGCACAAUGGGCGCAAGCCUGAUGCAGCGAUGCCGCGUGCGGGAUGAAGGCCCUAGGGUUGUAAACCGCUUUCAGUAGGGAAGAAAAUGACGGUACCUACAGAAGAAGGUGCGGCCAACUACGUGCCAGCAGCCGCGGUGACACGUAGGCACCAAGCGUUGUCCGGAUUUAUUGGGCGUAAAGAGCUCGUAGGCGGUUCAGUUAGUCGGGUGUGAAAACUCUGGGCUCAACCCAGAGACGCCACCCGAUACUGCUGUGACUUGAGUACGGUAGGGGAGUGGGGAUUUCCUGGUGUAGCGGUGAAAUGCGCAGAUAUCAGGAGGAACACCAGUGGCGAAGGCGCCACUCUGGGCCGUAACUGACGCUGAGGAGCGAAAGCAUGGGUAGCAAACAGGAUUAGAUACCCUGGUAGUCCAUGCCGUAAACGUUGGGCACUAGGUGUGGGUCUCAACCAACGAGAUCCGCGCCGUCGCUAACGCAUUAAGUG